GUCCAAAAUAAGCAAAUCUAUAGAGACAGAAAAUAGAUUAGUGGUUGCCUAGUGGUGGGAGGGUCUGCAGGGAAUUGGGGAAAGUUGACUGCUAAAGAGUAUGUGGAUGGUGUUUGACCCGUCGGUCGGUGAGUAAGAAGAAAAGGAAGGAGGAGGUCCAGAGUAGCGGUUGCCGAAAUGUUCCGGUGUGGAGGCCUUGCGGCAGGUGCUUUGAAGCAGAAGCUGGUGCCCUUGGUGCGGACCGUGUGUGUCCGAAGCCCGAGGCAGAGGAACCGGCUCCCAGGCAACUUGUUCCAGCGAUGGCAUGUUCCUCUAGAACUCCAGAUGACAAGACAAAUGGCUAGCUCUGGUGCAUCAGGGGGCAAAAUCCAUAAUUCUGUAUUAGUCCUUAUUGUGGGCUUGUCAACAAUAGGAGCUGGUGCAUAUGUCUACAAGACUAUAAAAGAUGACAAAAAAAGAUAUAAUGAAAGAAUAUCAGAGUUAGGGCUGACACCAGAAGAGAAACAGAAAAGGGCCGCAUCAUCUUCUGCAGAAGGAGAGCCAAUUUCUCAAGUCAGGGUACCAAGUCAUGUUCCUUUCCUACUAAUCGGUGGAGGCACUGCUGCUUUUGCUGCAGCUAGAUCCAUCCGAGCUCGGGAUCCUGGGGCCAGGGUACUGAUUAUAUCUGAAGAUCCUGAGCUGCCAUACAUGAGACCUCCUCUUUCAAAAGAAUUAUGGUUUUCAGAUGAUCCAAAUGUCACAAAGACACUGCGAUUCAGACAGUGGAAUGGAAAAGAGAGAAGCAUAUAUUUCCAGCCACCUUCUUUCUAUGUCUCUGCUCAGGACCUACCUCACAUUGAGAAUGGUGGUGUGGCUGUCCUCACUGGAAAGAAGGUAGUACAGCUGGAUGUGAGAGACAACAUGGUGAAACUUAAUGAUGGCUCUCAAAUAACCUAUGAAAAGUGCUUGAUUGCAACAGGAGGCACUCCAAGAAGUCUGUCUGCCAUUGAUAGGGCUGGAGCAGAGGUGAAGAGCAGAACAACACUUUUCAGAAAGAUUGGAGACUUUAGAGCCAUAGAGAAGAUUUCACGGGAAGUCAAGUCAAUUACGAUUAUUGAUGGGGGCUUCCUUGGUAGCGAACUGGCCUGUGCUCUUGGCAGAAAAGCUCAAGCCUUGGGCACAGAAGUGAUUCAACUCUUCCCUGAGAAAGGAAAUAUGGGAAAGAUCCUCCCUGAAUACCUCAGGAACUGGACCAUGGAAAAAGUCAGACAAGAGGGGGUUAAGGUGAUGCCCGAUGCCAUUGUGCAAUCAGUUGGAGUCAGCGGUGGCAAGUUACUCAUCAAGCUAAAAGACGGCAGGAAGGUAGAAACUGACCACAUCGUGGCAGCUGUGGGCCUGGAACCCAAUGUUGAGUUGGCCAAGACUGGUGGGCUGGAAAUAGACUCAGAUUUUGGUGGCUUCUGGGUAAAUGCAGAGCUAUAAGCACGCUCUAACAUCUGGGUGGCAGGAGAUGCUGCAUGCUUCUACGACAUAAAGCUGGGGAGGAGGCGGGUAGAGCACCACGAUCAUGCUGUUGUGAGUGGAAGAUUGGCUGGAGAAAAUAUGACCGGAGCUGCUAAGCCAUACUGGCAUCAGUCAGUGUUCUGGAGUGAUUUGGGUCCUGAUGUUGGCUAUGAAGCUAUUGGUCUUGUGGACAGUAGUUUGGCCACAGUUGGUGUUUUUGCAAAAGCAACCGCACAAGACAACCCAAAAUCUGCCACGGAACAGUCAGGGACUAGUAUCCAAUCAGAGAGUGAGACAGAAUCCGAGGCCUCAGAAAUUGCUAUUCCUGCCAGUACUCCUGCAAUUCCACAGGCCCCUGUCCAAGGGGAGGACUACGGCAAAGGUGUCAUCUUCUACCUCAGGGACAAAGUGGUUGUGGGGAUCGUGCUAUGGAACAUCUUUAACAGAAUGCUAAUAGCAAGGAAGAUCAUUAAGGACGGUGAGCAAUAUGAAGAUCUCAAUGAAGUAGCCAAACUAUUCAACAUUCAUGAAGACUGAAGCCCCACCGUGGAAUAGGCAAGCACGUCACCAUCCCUGAUAGCUGGCUAGAUGGGUAAAGAAGCAUUUUUUAUUUGGCAAACUGUGCGAAUGAGUGUAAAUGAUCGAGCAAAUCCUUUGCGAAUAUUUUCAACUAUGUGGGCAAAUUCUUAAUGUUCACAUCACGAAAUAAAAUCUGAUUCUUCUAAA